GAUGAACGCUGGCGGCGUGCCUAACACAUGCAAGUCGAACGAAUUACUUUAAAGGAAGUUUUCGGAUGGAAUUUAAAGUAGUUAGUGGCGGACGGGUGAGUAACGCGUGGGAAACCUGCCCUAUACAGGGGGAUAGCCUCGGGAAACUGGGAUUAAUACCCCAUAAAACUCUAGUAUCGCAUGAUACAUGAGCCAAAGAUUUAUCGGUAUAGGAUGGUCCCGCGUCUGAUUAGCUAGUUGGUGAGGUAACGGCUCACCAAGGCGACGAUCAGUAGCCGGCCUGAGAGGGUGAACGGCCACACUGGAACUGAGACACGGUCCAGACUCCUACGGGAGGCAGCAGUGGGGAAUAUUGCACAAUGGGGGAAACCCUGAUGCAGCGACGCCGCGUGAGCGAAGAAGGCCUUCGGGUCGUAAAGCUCUGUCCUAAGGGAAGAAACGGACGGUACCUUAGGAGGAAGCCCCGGCUAACUACGUG
rnacentral:rRNA from 1 species